rnacentral:rRNA from 1 species
CACGGAGUUAGCCGGGGCUUCUUCCUCGAGUCCUGUCAUGAUCGCGCACUCGACGAAAGAGCUUUACAAGCGGCAUUGCCCUUCUUCACUCACGCGAUAUUGCUGGAUCGGGCUUUCGCCCAUUGUCCAAGAUUCCCCACUGCUCGCCCCCCGUGGGAGUCCGGGCCGUGUCUCGGUCCCAGUGUGGCUGAUCAUACCGAAAAGACCAGCUAAGCAUCAUUGGCUUGGUCAGUCCUUUACCUGACCAACUACCUAAUACUACGCAGGCUCAUACAAACAGCGUCUUUUGAGUCUUUCUCAGGUAUUUCGGCCCGUAAUGUUCGGCAGACUUCCCACGUCGUUACGCCUACCCGUUCGCCUACUUUCGUUCU